GAUGAACGCUGACAGAAUGCUUAACACGUGCAAGUCAACUUGAAUUUGGGUUUUUAACUUAGGUUUGGGUGGCGGACGGGUGAGUAACGCGUAAAGAACUUGCCUCACAGCUAGGGACAACAUUUGGAAACGAAUGCUAAUACCUAAUAUUAUGAUAAUAGGGCAUCCUAUAAUUAUGAAAGCUAUAAGCGCUGUGAGAGAGCUUUGCGUCCCAUUAGCUAGUUGGAGAGGUAACGGCUCACCAAGGCGAUGAUGGGUAGCCGGCCUGAGAGGGUGAUCGGCCACAAGGGGACUGAGACACGGCCCUUACUCCUACGGGAGGCAGCAGUGGGGAAUAUUGGACAAUGGACCGAGAGUCUGAUCCAGCAAUUCUGUGUGCACGAUGAAGUUUUUCGGAAUGUAAAGUGCUUUCAGUUGGGAAGAAACAAAUGACGGUACCAACAGAAGAAGUGACGGCUAAAUACGUG
rnacentral:rRNA from 1 species